UACUCCUACGGGAGGCAGCAGUCAGUCCUCAGCACGUGUUCUGGUCUCCAGCAGCCGCGGUAAUACUCCUACGGGAGGCAGCAGUGGGGAAUAUUGGACAAUGGGCGGAAGCCUGAUCCAGCAACGCCGCGUGAGGGAUGACGGCCUUCGGGUUGUAAAGCUCUGUCUUCAGGGACGAUAAUGACGGUACCUGAGGAGGAAGCCACGGCUAACUACGUGCCAGCAGCCGCGGUAAU
rnacentral:rRNA from 1 species